AUUGAACGCUGGCGGCAGGCCUAACACAUGCAAGUCGAGCGGUAGAGAAAAGCUUGCUUUUCUUGAGAGCGGCGGACGGGUGAGUAAUGCCUAGGAAUCUGCCUGGUAGUGGGGGAUAACGUUCGGAAACGGACGCUAAUACCGCAUACGUCCUACGGGAGAAAGUGGGGGAUCUUCGGACCUCACGCUAUCAGAUGAGCCUAGGUCGGAUUAGCUAGUUGGUGAGGUAAUGGCUCACCAAGGCGACGAUCCGUAACUGGUCUGAGAGGAUGAUCAGUCACACUGGAACUGAGACACGGUCCAGACUCCUACGGGAGGCAGCAGUGGGGAAUAUUGGACAAUGGGCGCAAGCCUGAUCCAGCCAUGCCGCGUGUGUG
rnacentral:rRNA from 1 species